UACGAAGGGUGCAAGCGUUGCUCGGAAUUAUUGGGCGUAAAGGGUAGGUAGGUGGUUAUAUUUGUCUGGGGUGAAAUCCCUGAGCUUAACUCAGGACGUGCCUUGGAAACGGUAUAACUAGAGUACUAGAGAGGUUCGUGGAAUUCCUGGUGUAGUGGUGAAAUGCGUAGAGAUCGGGAGGAACACCUGUGGCGAAGGCGGCCGACUGGGCCGACCCUGACGCUGAGGCGCGAAGGCGUGGGGAGCGAACGGG
rnacentral:rRNA from 1 species